rnacentral:antisense_RNA from 1 species
UUUGUCACAGUCUGCAUUUCAUCCUAGGAUUGUCCUGAUUCCCUAAAUGAAUUGUAUUUUUUUGAGACAGGGUCUGGCAGCCUCGAACCCCUGGAGGCUUAGGUGAUCCUCCCACCUCAGCCCCCAAGUAGCUGGGACCACAGGCUCAGCUAAUUUUUACUUUUUUUUUUUAUUUUGCAGAUAUCAACCUCUCUGUGUUUCCUAGGCUGGUCUCAAACUCCUGGACUCAAGCAAUCCUCCUGCCUUAGCCUCCACAAGUGCUGGGAUUACAGGCAUGAGCAACUGCAUCCAGCUAAACAACCUCUCUUCUUGCAACACUGUUUCCUUGUGAGCUCAUUAACAUGCUAAUUACCAGAUUCCACAGGAAGAUGGAUUACAGAGCAAUAAGACAGGCUGGGUUCACCCUGGAAUGUGACCAGUAGUGACAGCCUCUAUAACAAUGACACAGGUACCGUUAUCGAUGCUGGGAAAAGAGAAAAGGACAUCAUUUUGCCCUCAGGGAGCUCAUAGUCUAACGGAGAGAGAGACAUGUGAACAACUACAACGUCUAUGGUAUAAGAAAACACUAAAUUGGAGACAUGUUCAAAGUAGUGCAGGGGAGGGAGCGGAGUGAGACUUCCUGGGGUCAUCCAGAAGGGCUUCCCGGCAGCACAUGGUUAAAGCAUGAGAUGUGAAACCAGGAAGAACCAGGUCUGAACCUUAGCUCCACCAGUGGUAGCCCCAAACCUUGGUCCUUUCUGAGCCUGCUUCUUCAACCCUAAGGGAACGCUACACUUCCUUAGAAAUUAAGAGUGUGUGCUACACUGCUUUACCAGAGCAAGACCAAAAGCAGCUUCAAUUAUGGUACAACUGUGUGAAGACACAAUGCGAAACCACUCAAGAAUGCUCACUCAAAUGGAUUUUUACCAUGGAACUCGGAAACGGGACCCAGAAAGUUGUUUUCUGCAAGUGGAUGGAACAACACAAGCAAUCAGUAUCCUGAAACAGGCCCUGUUCCAACAAACUGACCCAGAAAGGUCUGG